rnacentral:rRNA from 1 species
GACGAACGCUGGCGGCGUGCUUAACACAUGCAAGUCGAACGGAAAGGCCCUGCUUUUGUGGGGUGCUCGAGUGGCGAACGGGUGAGUAACACGUGAGUAACCUGCCCUUGACUUUGGGAUAACUUCAGGAAACUGGGGCUAAUACCGGAUAGGAGCUCCUGCUGCAUGGUGGGGGUUGGAAAGUUUCGGCGGUUGGGGAUGGACUCGCGGCUUAUCAGCUUGUUGGUGGGGUAGUGGCUUACCAAGGCUUUGACGGGUAGCCGGCCUGAGAGGGUGACCGGCCACAUUGGGACUGAGAUACGGCCCAGACUCCUACGGGAGGCAGCAGUGGGGAAUAUUGCACAAUGGGCGGAAGCCUGAUGCAGCAACGCCGCGUGCGGGAUGACGGCCUUCGGGUUGUAAACCGCUUUCGCCUGUGACGAAGCGUGAGUGACGGUAAUGGGUAAAGAGGCACCGGCUAACUAUGUG